CCCCACACCCCCCAGGGAAUCAUCCUUACCCCCAAAGUCCUCAUCACCCAACUAACCCAACUACCACUUUGACCACCAUUGACUAUCUCUAUAACCACACCACCCACCCACACCACCCACCGGCUAACACCACUACAACCACCAGCGAUGUCGUUGAAGUGUCCAACCAACACCCAGCCACCUCCGGCACCACCCAACCACCGCCGGCACCACCCAACCACCAUCAGAAACCUACUACAACUCCAUAAAAAUAACCGAACCACCAUCGGAAACUUACUCCAACUCCAUUAAAACCACCCAGCCAGCUCCGAGAUACCCAACCACCACCGAAAACCUACUACAACUCCCUCAAAACCACCACGAAACCACCCUUGCCACCACCAAAAAUCUAACUUAUCUACCACAAAACCACCAACCUCCCAUCAAAAAUAAUCCCACCCGUCCCAAAAAUUACUUUAAUCACUUGAAAAUCAUAACUCCUACCAUAAAAACAACACCAAUUACAAAUAAAAGUCUACCAAACUCCAAGAUCUAAGAGUUAAAGAUGAAGGGGAAGAGAGAGAAAAAGAUGCGAAAAGAGAGAAAAGGAGGAGCAGAGGCGGCAGCUAUGGUAGGGAGCAACGUCGGCGGCAGGAUGGUAGCAAAUUGGUGGCGAAGAUGGAUGGACGAUGAUGGAAGAGGAGGAGGAAGGGAGGGUGUACCUGAUUUUAGAUUGAAAGGGAAGAUAGUUUAUGGGUUUCCUUUUAGAAAACAAACAACUUGGUAAAAGAAAGGAAAUUGUUUUCCAUUCUCUCUCUUUCCCUUUCCUAUUGUCAUUCCCUUCACCUUUACGAACCAAAGAAACUUCAUUUCGGAGGAAAAAGGGUUUUAUUUGGGAUGGGACCCAUAAUAAACCAAUCGAAGAAUUGCGUCCUUUACGGAAAGACGUCCCCCUUUUUCGAAUAAAACAGUUAAACAGGCCGUUGGAGGAGGAAAUGCUCAAACUUCGCAGCAACUACAAUGGCGUCCAAGGCCUCAACUAUGGUUUCCGUCAUCUCCUUCUAUACUCAACUUCAACCUCAGCAGAAUGCAACCCUGUUUUUGCGAAUUAUUUGGUCGAUUUUCUAGGGUUUUCUAAGCAACAAGCUCUUUCUACUUGCACUAAGGUCGUCCGCAGUCGCCUAGCUCGAGGUUCGAAAAAGGUCAGUGAUUUUGAAUUCGUUGAAAAUUCUAAUUCCGUUGUCAGUUUUCUCAAACAAACUGGAUUUGAACAAUCUCAUAUUCGAUCUGCCGUAAUUCGCAAUCCUCGAAUUUUGUUCUGUAAUGUUGACAAAACCCUAAUUCCCAAGACCCUAGCUUUUCAGAAAAUGGGGUUUUCUGUAUCCGAUGUUGUUGAGGUUGUCAAGGUGAAUCCUUCAAUAUUUUUUACGGGGACGGAUACCAAAAUUAUUCAGGCAUUUCAAAUUUUGAGGGAGAUUAUGGGUUGUGAUCACCAUGUGAUUUCGAUUAUGAAAUGGCCUAAUAUCUGGCUUUCCUGUGUUUCCAAACUUUUGGUGCCUAAUAUAGCUUUGUUGCGGAAUCAUGGGAUCCCCAUUGAAUCAAUCCGGAAACGCCUACUUAGGGAUCCAUGUUCCUUUCUCCGGAAAACUGAGUUUAUUCAGGAUGCAUUGAUUAGGGUUGAAGAGAAGUUGGGGAUUCCUCGACACUCGCCCCAAUUCUUGUUAGGUGUUAUAUUAUUGACCUCUUUUAAGGAGACGACUAUCGAGUCGAAAAGACAAAUUUUUAAGAGCUUUGGUUGGACUGAGUCUGAUGUUGUAACUCUCACAAUAUUAAGUCCUUUUCUGUUGACGCUUUCUGAAGCUAGCCUCAAGAAAAAGUUGGGAUUUUUAAUGAAUGAGCUGAGUUACGAGCCUAGUUUCUUGGCAAAGAGGUGUGCUUUGUUUACUUGUAGCUUGGAGAAGAGAAUAGUACCGAGACAUAAGACCCUCCUAGUCUUGAAAGAGAAAGGUUUAAUUAAGAUGAAAUACUCUUUUAUGUCUGCCAUAAAGCUGAGUGAGUCUCAGUUCUUGAAGAGGUUUGUGCUACCAUUUACAGAAGUCCAUGAAGUUUAUUCUAAACAUGCAGGUAUUAGUUUGGAGAAGCUAACUGUAGGAUUGUCGAAACCAUAUUCUGAUGAUGCUUGAUGCUAGGUAAGCUUAAUUUAGCAUGCAACAUUUAGUUUAUUGAAUUCAGUAAUUUCACCGUAACAACCACCAGUGUUUUUAUUUGGCUCAUAAUUUCUAAAAGAAUGAUGGAAAAACUGGUUGAUUCUUUUUGUUAAUGUAUCGUUGUUGAAAACUUCUAUUUUGACGGUUCAGAGCUCUAUACUUACUUUAGACUUCGUUCUGUUUUUGGUUUAAUUGACAUUGUGGGAUUGUGCUAUAUAUUAAUAUAAAUAUCACCUGUUGUGCUUGUAUAUGUGAAGAUUGGGCUACUCUGAAAGCUUUCUUUAUUAUGCAUAGCAUAUAUAAAUAUUGUUUCCCUGCUUGCCACAUUACCAUGUUUAUUAAAAUAGUUACUCCGUAGUUGAGACUUUAAGAGUAUUAUUAGAAGAUGCCAGCUUCAUUCUAGGUCUUUGUGGAUUGCUUGUUUGCAUUUUGGUUUAUAGUAUACUUAUUCAUUCUUUUCUCAAUUCUGUCUUACAUAUCUUUUCUUUACACCACACAUUUCACUCCUGGAUUGUACAAUUUAUUACACUCUGCUCUAGCAAUCAGCACAAGCAGACUAGGAAAUGAGUAGGAAAUUUCUGAAGGCAAAGUUUGUAUUUUCAUGAAAAAUCCGCCUUGGUUGGGGGGCUUCUUUUAUACUCCGUACCUUUUACCCUUCCUGGUGUCAAAGGAAAUAUAGUUUGUCCUCAAAUAAUGAGCUGGAGAUGACAAUAGAGUCACUCCAUAAAUAAGAUCACAUUCAUGGAAAUCUUUUUACAUGAUGUUGAUCCAGUAUAAUGAUUGAACAAUUAACUUUAGGACUCUGCAACUCUGGAAGUCUACACCGCAACUUUUACUACACUAGGCUGGUUGUUUAUUUUGUUUAGCUUAUCCAGUUGGCUCAGACUCUUUCUACUUGGGAAUGAUGGCUAAUUGUUAUCCUAUCCCUGGGUAUUAGGUAAGAAACACAGGUAUGAAAUCUGAAAUCUAAUAUGUUCAAGGGUAUUCAUGUGUUCCAAAAUCCCCAGUUUCGGAGACCUUUAUUCUCCAAUGUGUAUAGCUGUGAAUGAAUGGAUGUACCUUCUUCACUAAUGGCCCUUGUCGUCAACAUACCCAUUCUCUUGUAUCUGGAUAUCAAGACUUUGUGUCAUAUAAAGGUUCACACACCUGCAUACUCCUUAUUCCUUAGUCCUACAGAUUUUUUGUGGCUAAUUUGGAGAAGUUGCACCUACACACCUAGUUCCAUCACCCAGUUAGGUGUAUAUUACUUGUUCUCCUAGGUCAGACUUUCUGUCUUUAUACGGUCAUCAGGUCAUGAGUUCAUGACUGUGUCCAUGCCCAAAGAGAUGUGAUGUCCCAAACAGAGUACCUAUACCUCAACCAUUUCCUACCUCAAAAUCUAUGUUAUACGGAAUUGGGUAUUUCUGCCCGAGACCGAUACAUGUCCAAGUAUUUAACUCGGCUAUUUUGUGAAAGGUUUGCAAGGUUUUGGCCCAAAGUGAAGCAUUGAGGUGCCAUAUCUAUGUUGAAGUGUCAGGAUCCCACGAGCACUUAGUGCGAAAUGGAGAGCUGGAGUAACAUAGCUCAUAACUCUUCAAAGGACUUGAUUUGAGAUGCUUGACAGGGGAGAAUGAAAUAUGAUGUUUAUUUAUGCUGCACUGGGAUAUGACUAGUGAUUCGCUUAACGAGGAAGACUAUGCAUCAUUUGAGGAACCUGUGAUUGCGACAAAAUUUAGCUAUCAAUGGGGAAUUUCCGUCACUCGUGAGUAAAAAGAAGGCCAGUGUCAAUACGAGUUUGGAAAUUCUAUAUGUUUUAGUCAGAUACAAAUUUCUUUGUUUGAGUCGGAUAAAUGAACCAGGCAUAAAUUAGUACGGCGAGUGACUCAUGUUUUUUUGGGUUGUCAAUUGAUACAUGGUGAUCACUCACCGGGUGUUGGCGGUUCAAAAAAUGUGCAGGCUAAUGAGUAAUGAGCCGCAUUGUGGAGUUGGACAUAGAAGGUGCUAUAACUUUUCACGGGCUAGGACUCGGGCUUGACUGAAGUAGCUCCAGGCCUGAAUGUUGAUUGGUUUAGGCGUAGUUAAUCGUCAAAAUCACUAAUACUGAUCUUGAAGAUUAAUCGUCAAAAAUUAGUGCAAUGUGUAGAUCUGAGAUCAUUGUAGAUUAAAAAGUUCAAUGUGAUAUUUUUGUCUGCAGAAGCAUAUUCA